rnacentral:rRNA from 1 species
AGUGAACGCUGGCGGUAGGCCUAACACAUGCAAGUCGAACGGCAGCACAGUAAGAGCUUGCUCUUACGGGUGGCGAGUGGCGGACGGGUGAGGAAUACAUCGGAAUCUACUUUUUCGUGGGGGAUAACGUAGGGAAACUUACGCUAAUACCGCAUACGACCUACGGGUGAAAGCAGGGGAUCUUCGGACCUUGCGCGAUUGAAUGAGCCGAUGUCGGAUUAGCUAGUUGGCGGGGUAAAGGCCCACCAAGGCGACGAUCCGUAGCUGGUCUGAGAGGAUGAUCAGCCAAACUGGAACAUGAAGACGGACCAGACUCCUGCGGGAGGCAGCAGUGGGGAAUAUUGGAAAAUGGGCGCAAGCCUGACCCAGCCAUCCCGCGGGGGAGAAGAAGGCCUUGGGGUUUUAAAGCCCUUUUGUUGGAAAAAAAAAGAAGCAGGUUAACCCCCCGCUGUUCUGAAGUUCCCAAAAGAAAAAGCACCGCCUAACUUCGUG